AUGGCAAUCCGUGCUAGCCAGAAAACAGAAGAGCAAAACAUAUUGUUGAAGGGCGCUCUACAUCGACUAUUCGAUGAGGUCAGAGAACUUAGGGAAAUAGUGAAAGGUGGCAAAGGACAGGAAGAGAUACUUGAUGAUGAUGCAACAGAUCGUGCGUCCUCUCCUACACUGGAACAUGGAUCUAAUCCUUCACCAACCACUCAGAUGAGAGGAGUUUCUAGUGAUUAUGGUGAUCAUAAUGUGCAUGAGGACAUGAUGAACAAUCAUGAUGCUGAUGUGAUGGUUCCUAUUAGAGGAAGAGCUCCACUCCAACCCACUAGAGGACACGAGGGGGGUGGGAAAGAGGUUGUUCUACUUUCUGUUGAGAGGCCAUGUGGUCAACCCGUGGCUAAGGCUACUCUCCAAACAUCUAAUCCAGAAGCACGUGUGGGAGGAUCUCUUUUAGGUGUUGAGUACCAUGAAGUAGUUGUGAAUAGUGUGAUGAGAGGUGAUCAUAUACUUCCUCGGCAACAUGGAAAGCUGAAGAUGCUGGCAGAUUGCGUUGGGCAUUCUAUAGGUUGGCCGCACCUAAACAUUGUGAAUGAAGAAAGGGCAACAAAAACAUCCAAGGUUCAGCAUCUUCAGUAA
rnacentral:rRNA from 1 species